UACCAGCACCCCGAGUGGUCGGGACGAUUAUUGGGCCUAAAGCAUCCGUAGCCGGUUUUACAAGUCCUCCGUUAAAUCCAACUGCUUAACAGAUGGGCCGCGGAGGAUACUAUGGAGCUAGGAGGCGGGAGAGGCAAGCGGUACUCGAUGGGUAGGGGUAAAAUCCGUUGAUCCAUUGAAGACCACCAGUGGCGAAGGCGGCUUGCCAGAACGCGCUCGACGGUGAGGGAUGAAAGCUGGGGGAGCAAACCGG
rnacentral:rRNA from 1 species